GGUUAAUUAUGUUGGAGGUGUGGUUAAGUAUAAUGGAGGUGUGGUUAAUUGUGUUGGGGGUGUGGUUAAGUAUACUGGAGGUGGGGUUAAUUGUACUGGAGGUGUGUUAAGUAUACUGGAGGAGUGGUUAAUUGUAUUGGAGGUGUGGUUAAUUAUACUGGAGGUGUGGUUAAUUGUAUUGGAGGUGUUGUUAAGUAUACUGGAGGUGUGGUUAAUUGUAUUGGAGGUGUUGUUAAGUAUACUGGAGGUGUGGUUAAUUAUACUGGAGGUGUGGUUAAUUGUAUUGGAGGUGUGUUAAUUGCUGAGUAGUUUCCAUGAGCAUUUCCCAGAUCCAGCUAUUGCUUUGUGUUGAGCCCACCUGCCCUGUGGUUAGUGAGGUGACUCUAUUAAGAUCCAUGUCAAGACCUUGAA
rnacentral:lncRNA from 1 species